rnacentral:rRNA from 1 species
GAUGAACGCUGGCGGCGUGCCUAAUACAUGCAAGUCGAGCGAACAGACGAGGAGCUUUCUCCUCUGACGUUAGCGGCGGACGGGUGAGUAACACGUGGAUAACCUACCUAUAAGACUGGGAUAACUUCGGGAAACCGGAGCUACUACCGGAUAAUAUAUUGAACCGCAUGCUUCAAUAGUGAAAGACGGUUUUGCUGUCACUUAUAGAUGGAUCCGCGCCGCAUUAGCUAGUUGGUAAGGUAACGGCUUACCAAGGCAACGAUGCGUAGCCGACCUGAGAGGGGGAUCGGCCACACUGGAACUGAGACACGGUCCAGACUCCUACGGGAGGCAGCAGUAGGGAAUCUUCCGGAAUGGGCGGAAGCCUGACGGAGCAACGCCGCGUGAGUGAGGAAGGUCUUCGGAUCGUAAAACUCUGUUAUUAGGGAAGAACAAAUGUGUAAGUAACUAUGCACGGCUUGACGGUACCUAAUCAGAAAGCCACGGCUAACUACGUG